ACAGACUGGCAGGCCGGCCAGACAGACGGACAGGCUGACCCCGGCCCGGGGGAGCAGGCGCAGCGGCUGCGCAGGUAAUGUGAAAUGGUGAGACAUGAUUCCUCAGAGCUCUGUUAUCCCACAAGUCUGUGUCUACCAGCCGCACAAGGAAAAUCUUUCACGAGGUUCCUCUCAGUUCCUGUGGCAGACAGACUCUUGGGGAAGUUGCUCACCAUCCCACCUGCUGAUGUCAUGGCUUUCUGUAAUUCCUUCUGUUUGAGUGGUGGGGGUGGGUGGCUGCAGUGGUGCUGUGACUUGCUUCUCACUGGUAGAAUGCAGCAAAGGUGAUGAGAUAGGUGGGAUAGAUGGUGCCAUGUCAGCGAUGACAUGGGUAUAUUAUGUGACAGUGUGGGGCCGGGCACGGUGGCUCAAGCAUGUAAUCCCAGCACUUUGGGGGGCCAAGGUGGGCGGAUCAGGAGGUCAGGAGAUUGAGAACAACCUAGCUAACACGGUGAAACCCUGUCUCUACUAAAAAAUACAAAAAAUUAGCCAGGCGUGAUGGCAGGCGCCUGUAGUCCCAGCUACUUGGGAGGCUGAGGCAGGAGAAUGGCGAGAACCCGGGAGGUGGAGCUUGCAGUGAGCCGAGAUGGCGCCACUGCACUCCAGCCUGGGGGACAGAGUGAGACUCCGUCUCGAAAAAAAAAAAAAAAGAAAGCGUGGCACUUGUCUUGCUGAGUCUCCCUAUGCCUCUCCAUUGGUUUUGAAGAAGCAAGCUGGCAUGUGGCAGCCUGCGGAUGUUGGGAGGCCACACGGCAAGGAACUGCAGCAUCUCUAGGAGCUGAGGGUGGACCCUGACUGGCAGCCAACAACAAACUGAAGCUCUCAAGCCUACCACCAUAAGGAAUUGAAUUCUGCCAAUAACCUGAGUGAGCAUGGAAGCAGAUCCUUUCCCAGCCAAGCCUCAGACAAGGUUCUGGCCCUGGGAAACACCUUGACUGAAGUCUUGUGAGACCAUAGGAAGAAGACUUAGCUGAGCCAGUCUCAGAUCCUGACCCAUAGAACCUGUUAGAUACUUAGCAUGUGUUGUUUUCAGCCUCUGUGUUUGUGGUAAUUUAUUAUACAAUACAUACUGUUCCCCACCCUAAUACUUGAAACUCCUGACCCCAAUCCCUGUGCUCUAUUUACAACUCCAUGCCACCACUGGGGGAAUAAUCCCAUAAUAGUAUCUGUGUGUGGGUAGCUUUACCUGUCUGUAUCUACACAUAGAUCUUGUGACAGUAAAUUUUAUCUAUCAACUUGACUGGGCUAAAGGAUGCCCUUAUAGUUAAUUAAACAUUAUUUCUGGAUAUGUCUGACUAGCAGAGAUUAGCAUUUGGAUUGGUGGACUGAGUGAAGCAGAUGGCCCUCAAUGUCAUCCAAUCCUUGAGGGCCUGAAUAGAGCAAAAAAGGCAGAUGAAGGUUGAUUUUGCUCUUUGCCUGACUGCUUGAGUUGGGACAUUGAUCUCUUGCGCUUGGUGCUUUGGUUCUUAGGCCUUCAGACCUGAGCUGAAAUCUACACCACCGGCUCUCUGACUAUCAGGCUUUGGACUAUACUUUGGGCUUUCCUGGGUCUCUUACCUGGCAGACAGCAGAUUUUGGAACUUUUCAGCCUCCAUAAUCAUUUCCCAGAAGAACCACAAAGCAUAAAUUUCCCCAAAAGGGGAAUUUUGUUGAUGGCUUUAGUCUAUUCCCUCCUAAAAGACCAGCUACAACCAAAUGAAGUGAACAUAACCUCAAGGGUGUAUUGUCUUCAUAAUAAAAGAUGAAGCUUAGAACUGGAUCACUUGGCCCUUUCUCUUCUGACAUCCUCCCAGUUGA
rnacentral:lncRNA from 1 species